AGUCAAAAUUCCUUGCAAUUGGUUGACUUAUACAAAGAAUUUUGUGAAUCCUUGCAUCUGGCUCUUUUAGUUUGCAAGGAAUGCAAUGAUUCCUUGUACUUGGUUUUCUGAAAUCUAAAAAAUGGUAAAUUCCUUGUAUAUAGAUUUGGAAUCCUUGCAAUUACUGCUGGGCGGGAUUUUUUAGCGCUCUCCAAAAUCACAAUUGCAACGAUCUGACGAUUCCUUGUUUUUAUUUGUGGACUCCUCUCGAAGCCUUUAUCACUAGACUGACUCUAGUUAGAAAAAGAAGAAACAAAAGUUCUCAGACUUCUCUUUGGUCCUUCCAGAUCGAUGAAGAACACACCCAAAAUACCAAAACCCCAAAUCCAACUGUGAAUGACGAAUCUGGAACUCAUGAAGACUCGCACUCAAACUCAACCCCAAAAGUCAACAACACAAGGUUCUCCAUCUCUUAUGCGUCAUCGCCACCUAUCUCUGCUUUCUUCCUCGCACUGACUCAAUUAGUUUGGGUCUUCUUUAUCGCUCGCACUCACUCGCAAGGUUGAAUUGCUCUGGUGAUGCCGAUUGAAAUUACUCGUGAAUGUGUGUUUGAGGUAUUGUAAUAUUUCUAGAUCUCCCCAUUUAAGAUGUUCAGAAUGUGGAUAUCGAUGGUUGGAUUUCUUUGGAUGAAUACUUUCACAUCGCUCUUGGAGUCUUGGUACAGUUUGAAACAAUUUUCACUAUAUUUUUUCCCUCAUAAUGUUAUAUUAGCUAUUUUGAUGACUGCAUUCCUAUCACACUUCAUUAUCUCCCGAAUUUUGGAUUUACUCUCGGAACUUUAUUACACUAAGUUCGAAGAUUAACUUAUUUGAAAAGUGGGACUCUGAUUGUUGAUGCUGGUGUGUGAGCAUUUGUGUGAUUAUUUCAGAUAUGAAAGUUAUAGGUGAUUUGAGUUGCUAGCUUAAAUUUAUUGUGCAGAUAGCCAAAUAGUAGUAAUAAGAACAAAAAAUAGAAGAAAGAACACAGAAACAGAAACAAAAUUGAUCACCUCUAUAGUUCUAGCGGACCUUCAAAGUGAAAGCCAGUCACUUUAGUGCAUGAGAAAGUACCUUAAAAGAAUAAACUAAUAACAUUCUCGAAAAGUAUCAAGUAUUUAGUGAGUUGAAGCUCCAUUGUUACUGAAACUUGAUACUUCCAGGCCCAUUAUCUUUUUCAUUCAUAUCCUAAUACCAUAAACUCGUCUUGCACUCAAUAUAUGGUGUAGCAUGUUAACAGAUAUUUUACUAAUAGUACUAAUGCAUUUUUAGAAUGAAAAUGUUGUCUACUGUAUUCACUAUCUCUGCAGCAAACGCUCUAGCUACCUAAGUAAUGUUAUAGAUAGAUUCCUUCAACUUCUUUGAAGAAAUUUACUCAGCUUUCACUUGAUUGUUGUCUCUUUGCUAUAGAAAUGUUCUGAGAGAUCACUUGAUAAUCAUGCCUAUUACUCUACUAGUGCAUUCUUUGCAGUUGGAUCAUUAUUUUUCCAGUUGUAAAAUCAAUCCUCUCAAGUUUGAGCUUGCUAUAUAUUCUAGUAUGCAAUUAUAUUAAUUAACCUCAAUCUGCAAUUGUUAUGUGGAGUAUACGUUAUAUUGGAUUUUUGACUUUUUUGGAGUGUGCCUUUGUAUCCAUACUCUGAAAUCAAGUCACUUCUAGUGUAGGAUAGUUCAAGCUAACUUCUUGAAACUAGUUCAAAAUGGUUGAUAGCAACGCAUCAUCUGCAAAGGUACAUAGCUGACUCAACUGUUCUGCCAUCUUAGAAGAUCGUGCUGAAUCCAAAAGUAGUACAAUAAAGCAUUUUAUGCACCUGUUCUGUUUGAGGAUUAAAGAAUAAAAGAGUGACUCUCCAACACAAAUAUGGUGUGAAAAGGAAACUGUUCUAUUCCCUAUACUCACUACUGUUCCCAUCCUUGGAGAAUGUCCUAAGACAUACUGGGGACCUAUAGUAAAUAAAAGCAUUUCAGGAACUCUCUGAACCUUAUGUUCAUAUGAGGUACAAAAGCUUGAAUACGUGACUCAAAGAUCAUCAACAGAGAAAAUUUUCAGGUUGCAGAGGUUGCCCGUGCUUUCAUUUUGUGUUGGGACAAAGAGAGAAGCAUCAUGAAGAAAUUUAGCUCGGGAACUUGAAGAGAUUUCAUUUCAUAGAACUUCAGAUUGCAACAAAUAACUUCAGCAGCAAUUACCUACUAAAAAGGGAGGCCUUGGACAUGUUUACAAAGGAACUAUCUGCGAUGGCACUGUCAUAGCAGUCAAGAGACUUAAAGGUGGCAGUGCUCUUGGUGGAGAGAUUCAAUUCCAGACUGAAGUUGAAAUGAUCAGCCUAGCAGUUCAUCGCAACCUUCUCCGGCUUUAUGGGUUUUGCAUCACUCCAACAUAGAAAGACUUCUAGUUUACCCAUACAUGUCUAAUGGCAGUGUGGCUUCUCGUGUCAAAGGGAAACCAGUGUUGGAUUGGGGAACUAGGAAACUAAUUUCCUUGGGAGCUGCAAGAGGAUCGUUAUACCUUCAUAAGCAGUGUGACCCGAAAAUUAUCCACAAGGAUGUGAAGGUAGCAAAUGUACUUCUUGAUGACUAUUGUGAAGCCGUGGUUGGAGAUUUUGAUUUGGCAAAGCUUUUGGAUCACCAAGUGUUCUGUGGUUAAGUGAAAUAUUGCUAAAUCGCAAUUUUUGAUGUACAAACGAACUAAUUGUUUUUAAUUCAAGGAAUGAAAGAAAAGUAUGGAAUGAAAA